UUCUCUUUCUUCUCUCUCUCUAUAUUAUAUAUCUAUAUACAUCUCUCUCUGCUCUCAUUAUUCUACCGAUCAAAGAAACGUCCGCUACCUUCCCCUUUCUCAUCUCCUCUCCCUAAUGGAAAACGAUCAAAGGUUGGUUAGCCUUCUAUUUUGGUUAUGGUUUAUCUAAAUUCCCACAAAUUUAUAUAUUUAUGUACAUGUGCAUGAAUGAAUUUUUGUGAUUGGUUUCUGUUUGAUUAGUUUUGAUCGGUGCCAGCGGCUGAGGCUUCGUUGCAGUCGCCCAAAACCCUAGGUCCGACGAAGGAUUCCGGUGGGGAAUCAAGUGAGCCGGAGGUUCGAUCAUCUGAUCCGUCUAUAAAACAGUUCUUCUCUCUUCUAUUGUGUAAUUGAAAUUUAUUGUUUUAGAGAUUUGGUUUAAUUUCUGGAAUUAAUUUGUUCUUAAUUAUUGAUUAAUUUUAAGUUCUUAUGCCUAAUUGUUUAGGGUUUUUGACUAAUUUGAGAUGGGGUUUGCAGAUGACGAGGUUGUCUCUGCCGAGGGGAUGAACAAGGCGGCUUUGUAGCAGCGUCAACGAGAGAACGUAGGUGCUUUCCAUUUAUUUGUAUUCGAAAUGGGUUUGUUGGAAAUUGGGAUUUGAUUAUGGGUUUUGGGUUAAUUGAUUGUACAACUAGGUGAUUUGGGUUUUGAUUUGGCUUGCAUUCUUUCAGGGUUCUGUAGUUUCUCAGUUGAUAAUUCACUGAUAAGGUAUGAUUUUGAUGUGGCUUUCUAUGAAAUUUUAAUUAUGUUUAUGUGUAUAUAAUUGUGUUUAUAUGAAUCAAAUUUAAGUUUGGUUAUUGUUUUUAAUAUUGGGAUUAUAAUGUGGUAUUCUUUGUUGUGUUGUCAUGAACUAAUAGAGUCAUUUUUGAUUAGGAAUCAAGGGAUGUCAAUUUCUAGGUCUUGAAGACUUCCGUUUACCUCUCAUUGGAACCCAAUUUUCUUGACAGAAUGCUUUUCUGAAGUUCUUCAUUUCAUUUCGUUUGAGGUUCUUUUUAAUUUCACCAAAUGUAUUUUCGAGAUAGAAAAUAUCUUGCAUUUCUGUAGUGUUUUCUUUUUCCUUUCCUAUUAUCUACUUUUAAGUUUAAUAUGAAAAAAUAUUUGUUCAGUGGGGUCAAAUUAGACAUUAAGUCAAAUUGGCAAUGAAUUGUAGUUUCACACACACACACACACACACACACA
rnacentral:lncRNA from 1 species